CUUCCUAAAGACCCAAGAGGUUCACGUUUGAUUUCCGUGUGGGAGCUUGGAUUUUAGCAGCUGUUUUUUCUUCUCAAGUGUGUCGCCAAAUCUUCUUCUGCUUGUAAUCGCUUCCAAACAUAUUUAAUUGAAAGAAAUCUAAGGCGGCACUUUAAUUGGGAUUGGAGCUUUAUUUCCUUUUGUUUCUUAAAUAACAAUAACAUUGGUAUGAGGAUAGGGUUCUAAGGGAUGAAAGAUUGCAAGCCGCAUGAUAGUAAGAGAUAGUAAGGCUUGUUGGAAAAUGGCAUUUGUUACUGGAUAAUUAGUGAAAGGCAUGCCAACUAUUGAUGUAUUCAUGAAUACUCCAUUGAGCUUUGGCAAUUUCUUUAAAUGCUAAUGCUAUUCCUUUCAUGGUAGAUUACUGUAUUGGUAUGUGAAAUAUGUCAUGUAUUAAGGGACUUCCUAGUAACAUUAAUUAAUAUUUGGUUUUCUGUUG